CUGACUUCUGUCUUUGUCCUCACGGUCACGUUGGGUGAGGAAUACGAAUCUCCUGGUAUCAUCCCAGAUGUGAGACGAUGAAUGACAUCCUAGUACCACCAACUCAAGCAAAGCAGAGUGCUGAGUGGGUAAGAAGAGGGAAAAAGAUUCUCCAGAACUUGGAGCAGGACAUGAGAAAGCUUUAAGUGGAAAUGUAACCCUCUAAUGCAAUGAGAUGCCUGUAUUGCAUGAAGAGCCAUUAUCCACCAAAGACAUCCUUGCCUGGAGUUUUGCAUGUAGAUCCUGUCAGUUGGCCACACUCUUUACCUGAACCAGCGGACACCGCUGCAAAGACCUGCAUGGAAGCUUAGAAAAGAAACUGCAGAACUGAAAGCACUAAGAUACAGCUCUCGUAAUACUGAAGAAACAGCUCCUCCUGAAGGCAAAAAUCGGGACCUGUGUCUCUUUCAGUUACAUGAACUUCGCACGGUUUUGCAUUGCAUAUAAGAAAAUAUACUGAGCCGUAAGCCCAGAAAAAGGAAUAUGUAAUCCAAGGAGUGCAGUCACAGAAAACCAAACCAAAGUGUAAACAAGCUUCAUUUACAGAUGUGGAGGAGCUCCACAAAAUACAAAGGGAGUUCACAUAAAUACCCAGUAUGGUAGGAUUCUCAGUAUUAGGAGUGGGUUUAAUUGAUGAUUUUCCCAACAUUUUCCAAUGUUAUAUGUGCAAAUAUAUGUGCUGUGCACACACAGACACACCUACAUAAUCUCGAACAUUUUCUAUUGGUGAAAUGUGGGGAUUAGCCAGUUUUCUGUGAACCCCGCUGUUCACACUGACAAUAUAAAUCAUUAUAUUCAUUUAUCUUGGAGUUAAUUAUUGCAAAAUAUCUCUAAAAGACUCUGCCAUUUGAAACCCUUGUA